rnacentral:rRNA from 1 species
GUGCCAGCCGCCGCGGUAAUACCGGCAGCCCAAGUGGUCGUCGCUUUUAUUGGGCCUAAAACGUCCGUAGCCUGUUUGGUAAAUCUGUGGGUAAAUCAACCAGCUUAACUGGUUGAAUUCUGCAGAGACUGCCAGACUAGGGACCGGGAGAGGUGUGGGGUACUCUAGGGUAGGGGUAAAAUCCUGUCAUCCUUAGAGGACCACCAGUUGCGAAGGCGCCACACUGGAACGGAUCCGACGGUCCGGGACGAAGCCUAGGGGCACGAACCGGAUUAGAUACCCGGGUAGUCCUAGGUGUAAACGCUGUGAACUUGGUGUCAGGGAUCCGUCAUGGGUCCCCGCUGCCGGAGUGAAGAUGUUAAGUUCACUGCCUGGGGAGUACGGUCGCCACGCUGAAACUUAAAGGAAUUGGCGGGGGACCACUGCAACGGGAGGAGCGUGCGUUUUAAUUGGAUUCAACGCCGGAAAACUCACCAGGGCCGACUGCUAUAUGCAUACCCCUGUGAUGAACUUGUCCUAUUUUCAGAUCGCCGGCGCAUGGCCGUUGUCAUUUCGUACUGUAAAGCGUUCUGUUAAGUCCGAUAUUUAACGAGACUUCUCAUUUCUAUUUGUCUCUUGUCUCUCUUGACACUGUGCAUCAUACGGACACUGUUGCGUGCUCCCCCCAGGAAGGCAGGGCAACGACUGGUCCUUAUGCCCCAUAUGUUUCUGCGCUACCGCGCGCUAUAAAGGACGGGACAAUGGGGAUCUACGCCUAGAGGCCGAGCUACCUUAAAACGCUUCGUAGU